GAAAAGUUAAACAUCGUUGAAUUCUUGUAGGCUUUAGGGAUUCUAGAUGUAGGAUGUCGAAUUGGAAAAUAAGUUACUGAGUCAAUUUUUUUUUUUUAAAUUAAAAUAGGGACACAUAAGAGCAAAAAAAUAAUUUGAUUAAGGCCAAAACUACUUUGCAUCAGUGGUUUCGUACCCCACUCAUUUGUCAUUUUCCCAAGUCAGCGUUCGAUAUAAUCUGACGACCGGAAAUGAAACAUGUAGAGAUGUAGGGGUAGCCAGAGAAACAAGUAAUGGGCCGGUCACUGGAUUGGUAAAAGAGCAUAGGGAAAUAAAAAAUAAUAACACAUUAAAAAUUUGUGAUUAAAUGGCUACCUCCGGCAAAAAUCUUAAAUGGCGACGACAAUGGCUACUUCCUACAACGGCGGCCUCUUUAAUUUGAGUUAGUUCGGUAAGUUUCUGUCAAAAUUCGUAAAUGGGUAAUGGAUUUAUGGGUUUGGUAGUAAUUGUAGAAGAUUAUAGGAUAUAUCUUGUUGAGCGAUUAGACUCGUUAACAUUAGGAAUGAAAUUGGAUUGAAAAUUGACAAAAUGUUUAAUGAAAAUGUGGUUCGUUAAAAAUGGCAAUACAAAUGUUUGCUAAAAUGCCUCAAAGAAUACAGUAUAUUGUGUAGGCUUAAUUUUGGUAUUAUUUUACUUGAAUCAAAAUGUAAGAAUGUUGGCAACUGGUAUUAUCGGUUGAAUAUUGGAAAUAGUAUGGUGUAAUGGAUGGCUAUCAGGGAAAGGUGUAUUCACAGCAAACAGUGGGCCGACAGUGGAGCAAUUAUCGCACAAAGCACAUAAGGUGUGUUUUGUGAGAAAAGUGCAUGUCGCAUAUGUGUUUGGUGCGACGGGUCACCCAUGGCAGAUUAACACAUUAAGUGUUUAUUGUGAUCUAAUUUUUAAAUAAUUUUUAUGUUAUUAACAAAUUAUGUUGUGUUAUUGUUACAAAUACAAUGGAAGAUGAUGACACUGUUGGUUCGUUUGAGAUAUGUAUUGUGGAUGAGUUUAGAGUCAAUGGAAUAUGGAAAAAGAUAGCACAAAUUAGACCAACUGAAGGUAGAGGCCGAAGGUGUCUCCGACAAACGAUGAGCCUAUAAAUAUUAUAGACGCCGAGGAUGGUGGAUAUGGUGCUUAUAAUCUUUGUUUUGAAGAAUAGAAAGAUAUUCACAGUGAAAGAUGUCGUGGAGAGGUUAUAAAUUACACAAGCAGCCUAGCUUAAGUUAGAGGAUGAAGUAAGGUUUCACACAAGGGAUUGGUAGUUGGCAAAUCAAAAAUGAUGUAGAAAAUGUAUACUUAAGUAUGCUGUGGAUUGUAUAUUCGUGGAAUAGAAAUAUUUGUGGCAUAUUUAUUUCCUUAUGUAUUGUCGAUUACAUAUGUAAUAGGUUGAAAGUAGUUCUACAACUUAGGAGGUACCCUACAUGCACAUGACAAAUCUCUUUAGAUUGAGACGAAUUUUCCCAUGAUAAAGUCGUAAAUGGUUGCGAAUGAUUAGGUUAUGUGUUUGUUUAGAGUAAAUAAUUGUCGGAAAAAUAAAUUUAUUUUUAAAGAGAUUUGUCAUGUGCAUGUAGGGUAAUAUACACAUAUGCUUUGCAAGGAUAUUAAAGGAGAUCGUGAGUUGUUCGCAAAGCUGAACAUGUACCACUUACUUGUGUAGUGAUUUCAUAGGAGACAAUAAACGUCUUGGUUUGAACAAUUUACUGUGGUGUGUUUACUAAGGAAUAUUGUUCCAUAUUGAUCCAUAUUUAAUAUAUAGUAAAAGUGAAGAAAUUGAAUAUAUGGUUAUUUUAGAAAGUAUGCACAGUAAAGAAACAAAUAUAUGUAGUAAUAGAAGUAUCCACAUAU
rnacentral:lncRNA from 1 species